GCUGGGUGCAGGGGUGCACACCUGUAAUCUCAGCUUCUCAGGAGGCUGACGUAGGAGGAUUGCCGAGUUUGAGGCCAGCCUGGGCAACUUAGCAAGACCUUGUCUCAA
rnacentral:sRNA from 1 species